GCCGCCAUCGCUUAGUGGUAGAGCACACGCUUGGAGAGCGUGGUCCUUUGGACUCCUGGGUUCGAUUCCCAGUGGCGGCG
rnacentral:tRNA from 1 species